AGUGAUAAGGGAGAGAGAAAGUGGCGGGGUCCACUAUUGGUUUUGAUAUUUGUUAGUGCAAAGUGAGAUAUAAUUGUAUAGUGUCGGUGGUUUUGCUAUAUAUUGAUGGUGCUGUGCACUGAAUGAGAAAAAAAUGAAGAAAAUAUAGAGGAACAUACAUAGCCGAGAUACAAAGAGAGAGAGAGAGAGAGAGAGAGCCGAGAUGAAUAGACAGGGAGAGGUCUGAGAGUUGCAGAGGAGGCCGGAAGCUGGAGGCCUUGAUGAUCUAGUGAUGAAAAUUCUUUGUUAAGGUUCAUUGGCCAAAAAGAAGCAAGAAGGAUGCUUUGUGGAGUUUUGAACAUCAAAGGUCACAAUGCUGAAUUUCUGGCAGCAGUGGAACCUGGACUUUGCUCGCCAUUUUGACCUUGAAAACUCGAGAACUGGACUUCCCUCAUAACAUGACAUAUUUAGAGCUCUGAAUCAGCUUUCCAAAUCUUCAAGCGGUUCAUCAUUCGGAGUUUGGAGCAGAGAGUUAUAAUCUUCUUAUCAGAGGUGCUCAGAACUGCCUGGCAGCAAUGAAUUUUUGUCUUUCUCUUCAAUUUCGACCAACCAGACUUGAGAAUUGGAUCUCCACCAAAACAUAAAGUUUUUAGAGCUCUGAAUUAGCUUUCCAAAUCUUCAAAUGGUUCAUCAUUCAGAGUUCGGAGCGCAAAGUUAUGGCUAUUUUACCAAAGUAGGUCCGGGCAAAUCAAUGCAAGCAUGGAGCAAUCUGUUCCAUUUUCGAGUGCUCGAGGCCCUAUUUCGAGCACUCGAAAUUGGGGCAGAAUUGCCUUCAGGAAUCCUCAUUUUGGCAGCCACUUGUGCAUUGGUUUCCUCAUUUCUACUUACUUCUUUAUGAGGUGGUUGGGGAUGUUUUUGGAGGAGAGAGAGAGCUUUGUUGGAGGAGAUAAGGCAAGGGAGGCCACACAUUUACAUGAUCCUUCAUUCUACAAGAUUAGAGGAGAGAGAAGAGAGCAAGAAAGGUGUUCUUGAAGCUUAAAGAAGGGAGCUCGAAAAUGGCUUGUCCAUCCAUGCUUCUUCCUUCUUCUAGCUCACUCAUGGGUAACUAAACUCCAUCUAGGGAGGUGAUGAAGCCUCCCCUUUUGUUCAUGUUCUAGAUUAGGUUCUAUUUUGGGGAUUAUAAUGUAUAAACUUUGGUCUUUUCAUAGUUUAAGAGCUUAUUAUUUCUUGUAAUGAAUAUUCAUGUUUAAAUGAUUGAUGUGAGUUCUUUAGCUUGUCUUGAUGAUUCUUACAUUAGUCUUAUUGCUUUUAUUUUCAUAGUGACAAUGAAGAUAUUAACUAUGAAUGGUUUUCAAGGCAUGUUGAUUUUGAAACUUGAUAUUCCAUUGCUUAGGUACCUCCUUUGAUGGACUAUGCUUGAUUCUUACCUUCAUGUGCUUCAUCAUUUGAUUGAAUGCUUGAUGGUCUUCUGCUUAAGUUAAUGUAUUUGAUACUACACCCUAGUCUAGGUAGUCCAAAUGUGUUGUCUUUUGAUAGACCAUUCUUGUUUUAAUCUCAUGAACUUUUUAUUGGUUAUGAAGCAACUAUGUGUUGCUACAUAAUUCUUGAUCAUUACCUAUAUAGUGUUUAUCCCCAAUUUAGUCUUGAUUUAGCAUGUAUUUAGGGCGUAGGUGGAUUCACUUCCUUAGUUUCCCCUUUUAUUAUCUCUAACUCUCAUUUACUAGCAUUCUUGUUUUAUGCACACUUCAAUUACUAGUUUAGUGACAAACCAAUCAACAACUCCUUAUUACACCUUAUCAUUCUAAAAUGACUCUAGAUACUUAGGUUGUCUUAAGACUAGCGCAGUCCCAGUGGUUCGACUUACCUGACCAAUAGCCCUAUUUUACAAUGAUUUGUGCUAUUGCGAAGGUUGAUGUAUAGUUGAUCAACCGAUCAGUCUUAGGCACUACCUACUGAGCAAUUUUGUCACCCCAUUACAUUUAAUAUUUUUCAGGACACGGAUGGCAAGUGACGGACGACACUCCUCUACAGGGUUGGAUGGGCCAGUCUCCCAAAU